rnacentral:tRNA from 1 species
GGCAACGUGGCCGAGUGGUCUAAGGCGCUGGUUUUAGGCACCAGUCUCCUCGGAGGCGAGAGUUCGAAUCUCUCCGUUGUCA